CUCCCCCUUUGUAUCCGAGAAGUCGCGUGCCUAUUGUUUGUCUUAGUAGAUCUUAGCCCAUCCCACCGGGAUUUCUCAGCCAUUAGCAUAAUUGGGCCAGCAAUACCUGAAUAAAUUUAAAUACAUCUUGUCUUUACAAUAGAGAUCUUUAGCGUUGAAGCGUGCCCGCUUCAUUGAGUCUGCCCGCAUACGCCAGUUCGGUCAAUCUUCAUAACUCUCCUCUAUUUCUUCAAGUCUCUCUAUAUACAACAAUAUCAUGACGAAUAUGGCCACAGUACAACUAAAUGGUGAUCAUCACGUCGUCCACGGUAAUCCCAUCAAGGCACCAAUGCACACCAUUCCUAUGAAAAAUCAUGAUGCUAUUAAAUUAUUUGUUGGGCAGAUUCCAAGGACUUUGGAAGAGAAGGAUCUUCGUCCAAUUUUUGAGGAGUACGGGCGCAUCUAUGAACUAACUGUUUUAAGGGACCGAUACACUGGCAUGCACAAAGGUUGCGCCUUCUUGACAUAUUGUGACAGAGAAAGCGCACUUGGAGCUCAGUCUGAACUCCACGAAAAGAAAACUCUCCCAGGGAUGAACCGGCCAAUUCAAGUCAAACCAGCAGACAGUGAGAAUAGAGGAGAAUUGAUAGGAAAAGCUACAAGAAAUUUAUCAGAGGAUCGUAAAUUGUUUGUUGGUAUGCUCAAUAAGCACCAAACUGAAGACGAUGUGCGGGCAUUGUUUCAUCCUUUUGGUAAAAUUGAAGAAUGUACAAUAUUAAGAGAUCCAAAUGGUGUUAGCAAAGGAUGUGCUUUCGUUAAAUUCAGUACUAGAAAAGAAGCUGCAGCAGCUAUAAACAACCUGCACCAAUGUCAAACAAUGCCUGGUGCAUCGUCUGCUAUUGUUGUCAAAUUUGCAGACACUGAAAAAGAACGACAAAUGCGACGAAUGCAGCAAAUGGGCGGUGCUUUAGGAGUUUUAAGUCCUAUCGUUACGACGCCACUAUACCACUACCCAACAACUCAGACCAUGAGCCAGGAAGCGCCAUUAGCAGUGUAUCCACAUAUUCUUCCUCAGCAACUGAUGGCAGCAACACAUGGGGGAACACCAUACGUUGCUGUAAAUCCAAUGAGUGCUCUGUCUGCUCAAGUACAUCAAAUGAACACAAUAGCAACUCCAAAUGGCUUUGCUACUGCUGUGGCUCCCUCUGCAGCAGUAGCUGCUGCAACAGGUCAAGCUACCAUCAAUGGUGGUACACCAAGCCUGCCCUCCCCAACUGUUCCUACCUACACCAUGGCUGCUCAGACCAAUGGUCAAGCGACUGAGCCAAUUUAUGCCAAUGGUAUGCAGCAAUACCCAGCUUCUUCAACAACAGCUGAGAUCUUACAACAAGCAUAUACUGGACUGCAGCAUUACACUGCACAAGCCUCGGCGACUUCUGACCCUCUGCAGCCGUAUGCAGCUAUGACUCAAUUUGCCGGCAAUCAUAUAGCCGCUUAUCCAGCUAGUAUGUAUGGACAGAUAUCGCAAACAUUUUCAUCCCAACAACCUCAGCCGGUGAUCGCUGCACAGCAGAGAGAAGUUGGUCCAGAGGGCUGCAACCUCUUCAUUUACCACCUGCCUCAGGAGUUAGGAGAUGCUGAACUGAUGCAGAUGUUUCUACCUUUCGGAAACAUUAUCAGCUCCAAAGUGUUUGUAGACAGGGCUACAAAUCAGAGUAAAUGCUUCGGUUUUGUAAGCUUUGACAAUCCAGCUAGUGCCCAGACUGCUAUUCAGAAUAUGAACGGCUUUCAAGUUGGCUCGAAGCGCCUAAAGGUUCAGCUGAAGAGGCCUAAGGAUUCCAGUAAACCUUACUAAAGAACAUAACAGGCCAUCUUAUUGACAGACCCUGAGACUACUUUAGUAAGCAGUAUACUGUAGCUCAUGAUUGGAAGACUUUAAAACUUAGAAACAAUUGCUACCUGGUUUCUCUUAUUGAGAGAUGAAUUUGACAGAGGUGUAGUGUCCAUAAAAACAAAAACAAAAAAAAUACAGGGGAGAAUUAACACAGCAUUCGAAUGCAUGCUGUCAACUGCUAUCAGUGGUUAUGAAAACAUCUGAUGAAAACUGAUUUUAUCUUUAUUAUUAUAUAUAAACAGCUACAUUUUAUUUUAGAAAUUUAAAUAAUAGAAGUUUAUAAGUUUUCAAGAUAUGAAAAAAAGAAAUCUGUGGGAAUCAAUCUUCAAUAAGUAUUUUACAGAACAUAAUACACUGUUCUCUUUACUUUUAUGUAUGCAAAGAUGAAAUAACUUGAAAUGUUACUUAAUGCUUAACAUAGGAAAAUGUUAACAGAAUAUUUAAUUACUUAUCAGUAUUUUAAGAUAAGCUUUCUAAAGGAGAAAUUUUUUCUGGAUUUUUGGGGCUCACUUGAGUUAUUUUUUUAUGGAUAUAUGUACGGCAAAGAAAUUAAUCGUAUUCAUAUUAAUAACUGCCAUUCCCCCAGGAUAAAAGUUGUUAGAUUUUGAACUUUGGUCAUUCAAUAGAUUGAGUUCAAAGUUAUUUAAGCUUAAUUUAUUCAUUAAUUUAUUCCUAUCAUUUAGAACAACUCUGUUGUUAAUAGGCUGGGCUAUGCUGCAAUAUGAUUUAUUUAUUCUCUACUUCAAAAUACCAUAACCCAGGUGACACGAGUGAGAUUGAGUGAGAAAGGAAAGUGCAAUAACUUGUUCCAUGUACUAACUAGAAAUCUAGAAAUAGCUUAGCAUUAGAAUUUAGAUCACAGAGUGCUGGUAGUAUACUAUCAAACACCAAACACAUUCAUUUGAUAACAUCAUAUAUUACUUAUGUUGAAAUAUUCAUAUAUAUAAUAUAAUAUAUAUAUAUAUGAUAUAUAUAUAUAUAUAUUAUAUAUAUCUGUUUUAUAUAUAUAUGUGUAUGUAUAUAUGUGUGUAUAUAUAUAUAUAUAUGUAUAUAUGUACAUUUAUAUAUGUAUAUAUAUAAAUAUAUAUAUUAUUUUAGAGUAUGUAUACACAGGAUUAUAGCUGGGAAAUGUUAAUUUCUCAGCCUAAUCAGGGCUAAUUAUUCAAGCCUAAUUGUACCACAAGUGCUUGUCGUAAUUCUUCAAUCUAUUCUUGCAUAAAACAGAUAAACUCAUAUAAGAAAGUAUAAUACAUACUCCAAGUAUUGAAAUACACGCCAUCAUAUUUCAAUACUUGGAGUAUGUAUUAUACUUUCUUAUCUGAGAUUAAUCAGUGGACCUUUCGGUUUUUACAGAUAAACUCAAAACCAUAUUGUAUUGUAUACCUACCAGCUUACUCAUCUCUGUAUUUACUUCCUUCAAACCUAUCAUUCCAGUUUGUGAGUUGAAUAUAUUAUAAAAUAUUACAAAAUGUUUUGGGCAAAUUAAAAUUUCCAUGAAAAAACAAAAAUACCAAUUUUAAAAAGUAUUCCAAGGAUGUAUUCAAUUAUUUAAUUUACUAUAAUGCAUUUUAACUUAUUAUUACAUACAGAAUUUAUUUGCUUUAAAAGACAUUACAUAAUAUGUGUCAUAGCUAAUGAUGCAGAAUCUGGGAUUGAAUUUAAUUUCAAAGGUUAGUUUAGCCAACUAACCUGAGAAUUUGUACAUAGCUUUACAAGUCCUAGAUUGUGCUCUAGAGGAAAUGAAAUGGUUGAACUAUCACAAGGGUUAGGUCUACCUAUUUGUAACUUGCAUUUUUUUCCUGUACACAGGUAAUUGUCCAUGCUUUCUAAACAGUUUGUUUUAUACAAUUUCCAUGAAUGCAAAAGCAAUAAGAUUUUUUUUAAAGAAAUUUUGACAUUCUGUGAUCAGUUUUGCAAAAAUCUAAAUGUGAACGAAACCAUUGUAAAUGAAAUUUCUUUUAUUCAGUUUGACAUUUAGUGACUUUGAUUCACAUGAAUUUUCUUGUUAAAUAUGUGUACACAACUACAGCACCUGUUUAAUUUUCAUCAAGAAUGCUAUAAGAACUUAUAAAUUUAUAUGUUUUAUCGAAUACUGAUAGAAAUGUAAAAUAUAAAAAUAGGAAUAUACAUAAUUGUAUUCAAAUAUUACAGUAGUUUUUUUUAUUUAUCUAAUAUACUAUACUACGUUAGCAUUCUAUUGUUUUCUUUAAAGAUACAGUUGAACUUGCCUAAGUCGAAUCUAAAAUGGCAUUGGAAAAAUUUGUCAACUUAAAUUAAUGGAAGCAAAACAAUUUGGCAUGUAAAAUAAGAUCAACUUAGAAAAUAGUCCAGUUAAGGCAAAGUCGACUUAGGCAAGUUUAACUUUAUAUCUUCUCUUAUGAGCUAAUACUUGAACAAUGAAAUUCAAUAUCUAUUUGCUUACUUUGUAUAUUAAGUAAGUUGUUAAAUUUCAAAGAUUAGAUCAAGAAAAUAUUUCCUUGCCAAUUAAUAGUACUACUCUUAUAUUUACAUAGCCUAAAAUUAGCUAUCUGUGAAUUUAUGGACUUGGCAAUUAGUAACUUAAAAUUCUUUCAAUUCAAUAUUUAUUUGAAUUGUUUUAUCAGACAAUUAUCUUUAAGCUUUAGUUUCCUUGUGGUAGUUCUUGCCAACAUGUAAAAAAAAAACCAUUGAAUUAUUUAAUUUCCUUUGAGCAUGCUACUCCCCAUUUGUACAUAUUUACGAACAUAUAAAAGCUAGCACUAGUAGAUUAUAAGAAUAUAGUUGUCAUUAAGACAAAAUGUAGAAAUAUACCAGGCAUAUUAAUGAUAUUUAAGGGGAAAAUCAUAGUUAAGAAAUAGAUAAUGUCAUAUGUUAGAUUCUCAAAGGUCAGCUAUAGAUCUUUUUACUAACAUCCCAUUAAUUUUUUCAUGAUCUAAAGAUUUAUCUUUGUGAAGAAUCAUGUUUCAAUUAUAUUUUACAUUGUAAAUUUAAGUUUAAAACUUGAUCUCCGGUCAAGAUUUAAAGGGAAGCAUGGUAGUAAGUAGAUCGUUAAAAAUUAGCCUGGUUAUCGCGGCUUUGUUACUUAAUGCUUGCCCACUGAAAGCUUGAUUCAAUUAGCUACCCUGCUUCAUGUUAAACUUAUCAGGGAAUUUUGAGCAUUUUACUCCAGAGAGGGCUCUUCAGUUUGCAUAAAACUCCUGUACAAAUUUUUAUCAACCGUUAAUAAUAAAAAAAAUUAGUAUACAGAAAUCAGAGACAAAAGUUUAUUUUUGGAACAAGUGGAAUUGUACAGCUAAUUGUUUUUCCAAUAUUUGAGUUUGGUUUGAUGACGGUAGUGUGUAAAUGGUCAUAUUGUACUCAAUGUGUUUGGAGUGUCAUAAAGUCUGUAGUAGCUAUGGUGGAUGUCAAAUUUUAAUAUGUACAGAUAUGGUAUAUACUUCACUAUAAACAUCUCUUCACCUAUGAUUUCAUUGCAAUAACAAUGUCAUUAUUAAUUAAAGUAAAAUAAAUAUUGAAUUAAUUUUUUUAGUUUGUAUUUGAUAUCCAAGAAUUAAAAAAGUUGACCUCAAAAGCAAUUGCUUGACCAUACUAGCAUGACGUUUCACCAGUGGCAAGAAUUUAUGCCAACAUGGGGUAGGCAGCUUAAGUGUGUUUUUAUUUAAGGUACUGAAAUGUAUAGGUGAAAUGAAAUAUAUAUGUUGUAUAUUUAUUACACACACAGUUAAUUCCUAAAUAUAUGGUUGGUUGUGUGCACAGUGUUUGUACUGCUAGUUUGUGUGGAUGUAACUUAUGUGCAUUGAUUCCAAUCAGGUUUCUUCACAUAGUUUAUAAAAAGAAACAUCAUCUGAUUGUUGGAAAAGUUUGGUGAAGUUGGUCAUGCUCACUCUCUGUACUUCUUUUAUGUUCAACAUUUAAUUGUUUUGUACAGAUGGAAAGACCUAUACAGAUUUUGAUACUCUACUUUUUUAAAUGCUUACAAUGUGUUUUAACGAACUGAAAAGCCCUCUUCUUAUGUUUUGCUCAAAUCUAUAUAGAAAGGAAUUUGAAAUAUUAUAGAAGAUUAUAAAAAAAAUAUGUAGAAUUAAGUAGCUACUAAAUAGAAAGAAUGUUGAUAAGUUAUGAUUAUCAUAUUGAAAGAUAAAGCACAAAUGAAAGAAGGUAUAAGAAUGAAGAUGCAUAAAUGGAAAGAUAAAUAAUGAAAUGAACAUGAGAAGAAUGUCAGGAAUGAUACUGCAAUAAAUGCACGCAAGAAAAGUG
rnacentral:misc_RNA from 1 species